rnacentral:rRNA from 1 species
GCAGUAUUCUAACUGUGCUAAGGUAGCAUAAUCAUUAGUCUUUUAAUUGGAGACUGGUAUGAAUGGUUAAACGAGAAAUUGACUUUUUUUGUUAUAAAAAUCAAAUUUAAUUUUUUAGUGAAAAAGCUAAAAUUUUUCAGAAAGACGAGAAGACCCUAUAGAGUUUUAUAUUAAUUUUAUAUUUAUUUUUAAUAGAUUUUUAAAAAAUAAGUAUAGAAAAAUAUUUUGUUGGGGCGACAUUAAGAUAAAAAAAACUCUUUUUUUUAAAAAUUUUUAUAAAAAUAUUUUUUGAUCCUUUAAAAAAGAUCAAAAGAAAAAAUUACCUUAGGGAUAACAGCGUAAUCUUUUUUUAGAGUUCUAAUCGACAAAAAGGUUUGCGACCUCGAUGUUGGACUAAAAUUUAGGCAGGGUGCAGCAGUUCUGCUUUUAGGUCUGUUCGACCUAUA